rnacentral:lncRNA from 1 species
CGCACAUCACGCAAAGCACACAACUUUGUUGCUCACUUCAGUUUGCGUGAGCAAAGGCACUGCUCCACCCACAGCCCCUGAAGCCUUAGAGGAGCCCACAUACUAUGUCUGCCAUGAGGGGGUCAUCGGGGUUGGGCUCCACCAUCAGCAGCUGUAUGGAGGUCAGCAGUGUGGAGAUGUUCAAGGAGGGCCUCCACGCGCCCUUUGGUGGUAACUUAAGAACAUCCAGACAAAUCCUUCCAGCAGAGUCGAUGUUAGGAUGAUAAAUAGGGGUCAGAAAUCGAAUCUUCGGGGGCUCAAAUGGGUACCUUUCAGGAACCACUAUCUCCAGGUCGAAUAUCCCUUUCUCAUAGGGUGUAUCUGCAGCUCCGAUAAUUUCCCGCAGAGGGUUCCUUGGCU